rnacentral:lncRNA from 1 species
UAAGCAUUAUUUGGUAAAUGAGACAUCAAAAGGGCUAGGCAAAAUGAAAUAAAAAGAUGGACAUGUGCAAGUCCACAGAAAAAGAAAAUUGAGCACAUGAAAGCUCAUAUAUAAAAAAAAAGAAGAAAAAAAUGCUAGCCAUGUCUCAAUACAUAGAGAGUCUAUCAAAUAAAGGAGCAACCUAGUCCACCAUAUAUCACACUUGCACAUCUUGAUCUGGGAGUAUGACACUUCUCUUCAAGGAUCCGAGCUUUGACUUCGCAAUACAUGCAAAGUAAGUAUGCUAUCUCCUUUCAUCCCUACCUUGAACUCCACAUAAGCCUUUUAGAAAUAGGAUGAAAUAGAGAAGGCAACUCUUACCAUAUGCCUUGGUGAGGAAUCAUACACCAUUUGAGUGACAUGAGAGAACCAUAAGAGGAACAUUUAAGCUUUCUUUUGAAAAUAUCACAAAACCUCUGAUAUGAAACUUGCUAAGAAUGAGAAAGUUAGUGCUCAAGUCAAACUGUUCUGUCUCUCAACCACCUAAG